rnacentral:rRNA from 1 species
UACGGAGGAUGCGAGCGUUAUCCGGGUUUAUUGGGUUUAAAGGGUGCGUAGGCGGACGCUUAAGUCAGCGGUAAAAUUUCGGGGCUCAACCCCGUCGUGCCGUUGAAACUGGUUUUCUUGAGUGAGCGAGAAGUAUGCGGAAUGCGUGGUGUAGCGGUGAAAUGCAUAGAUAUCACGCAGAACUCCGAUUGCGAAGGCAGCAUACCGGCGCCCAACUGACGCUGAAGCACGAAAGCGUGGGUAUCGAACAGG